rnacentral:rRNA from 1 species
UCCGCCUACGGGGGGCAGCAGUGGGGAAUAUUGGGCAAUGGGCGCAAGCCUGACCCAGCAACGCCGCGUGAAGGAAGAAGGCUUUCGGGUUGUAAACUUCUUUUAUCAGGGACGAAGCAAGUGACGGUACCUGAUGAAUAAGCCACGGCUAACUACGUGCCAGCAGCCGCGGUAAUACGUAGGUGGCAAGCGUUAUCCGGAUUUACUGGGUGUAAAGGACGUGUAGGCGGGAGUGCAAGUCCGAUGUGAAAACUAUGGGGUCAACCCAUAGCCUGCAUUUGCAACUGUACUUCUU